rnacentral:rRNA from 1 species
UACAGAGGGUGCGAGCGUUGUUCGGAAUUAUUGGGCGUAAAGGGCGCGUAGGCGGUGCGGUAAGUCACCUGUGAAAUCUCCUGGCUCAACUGGGAGCUUGCAGGCGAAACUGCCGUGCUGGAGUGUGGGAGAGGUGCGUGGAAUUCCUGGUGUAGCGGUGAAAUGCGUAGAGAUCCGGAGGAAGACCGGUGGCGAAGGCGGUCUGCUGGGCAGUUUCUGACACUGAGGCGCGACAGCGUGGGGAGCAAACAGG